UAAGACGAACCGUGCGAACGUUGUUCGGAAUCACUGGGCUUAAAGGGCGCGUAGGCGGGUCACCAAGUCCGGGGUGAAAUCUUUCGGCUUAACCGGAAAACUGCCUUGGAUACUGGUGACCUCGAGGGAGGUAGGGGUCUGUGGAACUUCUGGUGGAGCGGUGAAAUGCGUUGAUAUCAGAAGGAACGCCGGUGGCGAAAGCGACGGACUGGACCUCCACUGACGCUGAGGCGCGAAAGCUAGGGGAGCAAACGGGAUUAGAUACCCCGGUAGUCCUAGCCCUAAACGAUGGGUACUAGGUUGUGGACUAGACAUGGGUUCACAGCCGAAGCAAAAGUGUUAAGUACCCCGCCUGGGGAGUAUGGUCGCAAGGCUG
rnacentral:rRNA from 1 species